CGGGGCCGGGGCCGGGGCCGGGGCCGAGGCCGGGUGUAAGAUGGAAUAAAGCAGUAGUGAAAUCAUCAUGGGGAGCUGGGAGGAGUGUCAAACUUUCAGCAAUUGAGUCCCGUUUUCCCUACCUUAGAGAAAGAGAGAGAGAUGGGGAAGCUGGGGGAUUUCCAUUAAGGAGAAACCAGAGACGAUCAAAGGAGGAGGAGGGUGGUGCUGCCCUUUAAGAAAGCCGGCCAGAGCUCUGGAACUGGGACUCUUAAGAAACUUCUGUAAUGUGCCAAGUAAAGUGAGAAAGCUCUUCGUGGGGUCAAAAGAGAAGCUACCAGAGGAGGCCCCACGGAAGACUUGGCAGAAGAGAGUGGGAAAGAGCAUGCAUACUUGACAAAGACUUUACCACUAGAGAUAAUAGAGAAGCCAGAGAGAGUGAGGAGAAACUACCAGAUAAAUCAUUACGAAGCAAAUGUUCUCCUUUCUCAAUAACAUGGACUCAAUAGCUGAAUGUGGCUCAGACAAAGCAUCUGUCUCUCCGUCUUUCAAACUUAAAAAGAAAAUCAUCAACACCUCAGUAGAGAAAUGAGUAAUGCACGGGAUUUCAUGGAAGAGGAAACAGGACUAGUAAAUAAACACAUGAAGACUGAAGUCCA
rnacentral:lncRNA from 1 species